rnacentral:rRNA from 1 species
CCUACGGGGGGCAGCAGUGAGGAAUAUUGGUCAAUGGGCGCAAGCCUGAACCAGCCAAGCCGCGUGAGGGAUGAUGGUCCUAUGGAUUGUAAACCUCUUUUGUCGGGGAGCAAGGCCCGCCACGUGUGGCGGGAAGGAGAGUACCCGAAGAAAAAGCAUCGGCUAACUCCGUGCCAGCAGCCGCGGUAAUACGGAGGAUGCGAGCGUUAUCCGGAUUUAUUGGGUUUAAAGGGUGCGUAGGCGGAAGGUUAAGUCAGCGGUAAAAUGUCGGUGCUCAACACCGGCCUGCCGUUGAAACUGGUCUUCUUGAGUGAGCGAGAAGUAUGCGGAAUGCGUGGUGUAGCGGUGAAAUGCAUAGAUAUCACGCAGAACUCCGAUUGCGAAGGCAGCAUACCGGCGCUCAACUGACGCUGAGGCACGAAAGCGUGGGGAUCGAACAGGAUUAGAUACCCUUGUAGUC